rnacentral:misc_RNA from 1 species
GAUGAAGAACGCAGCGAAAUGCAAUAAGUAAUGUGAAUUGCAGAAUUCAGUGAAUCAUCGAAUCUUUGAACGCACAUUGCGCCCUUUGGCAUUCCGAAGGGCACACCUGUCCGAGCGCCGUCGCACAACUGAGGCGCAGCCUUGCGUUGGCGGGCGACUUGUGAGUAGCGAGUCGCCGCCCAAACGAGACGGCGCCGCGCCGCGGCCGACGAAGCACGAAAGCGGAAGUCGACGCGGAGGCGGUUGCCUGUAGGAAGACACAGCUUGGCCUCGGAUCAGGUGGGGAUACCCGCUGAACUUAAGCAUAUCAAUAAGCGGAGGA